CUCCCCCGGUCCCCGGCGCCGCCUCCUUCGCUCCCGGCUCCCGCUCCCGCUCCCGCGGCCGCCGCCGCCCCGGGAAGGAGAGACCGGGUGGGGCUUGGGGGAGCGCGACCCUGGCCGGGCAGGAGCCCGGAUUCGCGGGGAGGAGGGCUGGGAGGAGGGGAAGGCUGAGGAGAAAGGAGGGGGAGCGGGAGGAGCGGCCGGGCCUGGGGCCUUGAGGCCGGGAGAGCCGGGAAGCUGGGCCGGCGCGCCGAGAUGCUGCUGCCGCUGCUGCUGCCGCUGGCGCCGCUCUUCCUCCGCCCCCCGGGCGCGGGCGGGGCGCAGACCCCCAACGCCACCUCAGAAGGUUGCCAGAUCAUACACCCGCCUUGGGAAGGGGGCAUCAGGUACAGGGGCCUGACUCGCGACCAGGUGAAGGCUAUCAACUUCCUGCCGGUGGACUAUGAGAUUGAGUAUGUGUGCCGGGGAGAGCGCGAGGUGGUGGGGCCCAAGGUCCGAAAGUGCCUGGCCAACGGCUCCUGGACAGAUAUGGACACACCCAGCCGAUGCGUCCGCAUCUGCUCCAAGUCCUAUUUGGCCCUGGAAAAUGGGAAGGUUUUCCUGACGGGUGGGGACCUCCCCACUCUGGACGGAGCCCGGGUGGAUUUCCGAUGUGACCCUGACUUCCAUCUUGUGGGCAGCUCCCGGAGCAUCUGUAGUCAGGGCCAGUGGAGCACCCCCAAGCCCCACUGCCAGGGUGAGGGGAAUGGCUGCGUGCUUGCAGCUGAGGGCGCUUGCAGAGGAUGGGAGUGGGGUGGGCAGGGCUGGCGGGAAAGACGGGGUGCUAUGCAACAUGGGGGGCUUUGGGGGAGUGAAGGUGAAAACCCAACUCUUUCCCCCCCGCCCACCUGUCUCCAGCCCCCUCCUGCUGUCCCCAGUGCGCCUUUUACCCCUGGGGGCUUCCUUCCUCUCCCUCCCUCUUUUUAUAUCUCCUCCCUGCUCCCCAUUCCCCACAUGUUCUCUUUUCCUCUAUGAGUCUCACCCUCCAUCACCUUUCUUAAGGUUUAAAUACCCCAGUUUCCCGUAGCCUCAGUCCCUUUCUCUAAACUUAGAACUUUCUAUGCAUAACCCUCUUCUACAACUGGUUCCUCUCCAUUUGUUAUAUAACUGAAUUAUUGUAAAGACUCAGAAAUAAAUCAUAUGUCAUACUUAGAAAAAAAAUGUUAAGAUUGGAAAGAAUAUCUGGGGUGGAAAAUUAUCAGGGUAAAAAUUUAAAAGGCUUAAAAUUGGGGGCAGAACUCUCAGGGUGCUAAGGACCACCCAGGGUUGGGGAGGGAAAGAGGACAGUCCUUUUCUGGAACUCUCAGACAAGCUCCAUCCUUCCCAAGGGACUCAGUCUUGGGUGCAGCACCUUUUCUGUCAGUCAGUUCUGCGAAUUCCCCCUUUCCUGGGCACCCAGAUUCCCCCUUUGCGGUCUUCUCUGCAAGAUGCAGGCAUACCCCAUGCUUCCCCUAUUCUUGGAGAAUCUUUCAAGGUCCUGGACCUGGCUUUCCUCCCUCAACGUAAUUAUUCUGCUUGUAGUUUACCAUCCCAUUGUGGAAACUGAGAGUCCCCUCCGGGGGUGGAUUUACCAUGAAGCUAAUGCAAUUUAAGCGUCAGGGCUCCUCAUUCACCCAGGUCUCUUCUUGUGCUCUAAUAAUGUGUUCACAUGGUCAUAGCUUUUUGUAAAAAAUGCCAAAGUAAGAUUUUAAAAGCAAUAGUUUAAAAU